rnacentral:misc_RNA from 1 species
GAUGAAGAACGUAGUGAAAUGCGAUACGUAAUGUGAAUUGCAGAAUUCAGUGAAUCAUCGAGUCUUUGAACGCACAUUGCGCCCUCUGGUAUUCCGGGGGGCAUGCCUGUUCGAGCGUCAUUAUAACCACUCAAGCUCUCGCUUGGUAUUGGGGUUCGCGGUUCCGCGGCCCCUAAAAUCAGUGGCGGUGCCUGUCGGCUCUACGCGUAGUAAUACUCCUCGCGAUUGAGUCCGGUAGGUCUACUUGCCAGCAACCCCCAAUUUUUACAGGUUGACCUCGGAUCAGGUAGGGAUACCCGCUGAACUUAAGCAUAUCAAUAAGCGGAGGA